rnacentral:rRNA from 1 species
GAUGAACGCUGGCGGCGUGCCUAAUACAUGCAAGUCGAGCGAAUGGAUUAAGAGCUUGCUCUUAUGAAGUUAGCGGCGGACGGGUGAGUAACACGUGGGUAACCUGCCCAUAAGACUGGGAUAACUCCGGGAAACCGGGGCUAAUACCGGAUAAUAUUUUGAACUGCAUGGUUCAAAAUUGAAAGGCGGCUUCGGCUGUCACUUAUGGAUGGACCCGCGUCGCAUUAGCUAGUUGGUGAGGUAACGGCUCACCAAGGCAACGAUGCGUAGCCGACCUGAGAGGGUGAACGGCGACACUGGGACUGAGACACGGCCGAGACUCCUACGGGAGGCAGCAGUAGGGAAUCUUCCGCAAUGGACGAAAGUCUGACGGAGCAACGCCGCGUGAGUGAUGAAGGCUUUCGGGUCGUAAAACUCUGUUGUUAGGGAAGAACAAGUGCUAGUUGAAUAAGCUGGCACCUUGACGGUACCUAACCAGAAAGCCACGGCUAACUACGUGCCAGCCGCCGCGGUAA